rnacentral:misc_RNA from 1 species
AGAUUUUAUGGGCUCAACUAUUCCUGAACGAAAAACACAGAUUGUGAAAUUCAGAAUAAGAUUGAUCAAGCACAAAUUUCAAAGAAGUCAUCAAUUGACAAGCCUUCAAUAUCAUUAAAGUGAGAAAAUCCCACUCUUCAUCAAAAGAGCAUACACCCCCCAGAGCCAUGUGAAUAAAUUUAUCCAGGGGGAAAAAUAAAGAACAAUAGAGUUUACAGGACCAGGAAAUAUGGAUUUAUCAAAAAACAUGGAUAACAAAAGGAU